rnacentral:rRNA from 1 species
UCCUACGGGAGGCAGCAGUGGGGAAUCUUCCGCAAUGGACGAAAGUCUGACGGAGCAACGCCGCGUGAGUGAUGAAGGUCUUCGGAUUGUAAAACUCUGUUGUUAGGGACGAAAGCACCGUGUUCGAACAGGUCAUGGUGUUGACGGUACCUAACGAGGAAGCCACGGCUAACUACGUGCCAGCAGCCGCGGUAAUACGUAGGUGGCAAGCGUUGUCCGGAAUUAUUGGGCGUAAAGAGCAUGUAGGCGGGCUUUUAAGUCUGACGUGAAAAUGCGGGGCUUAACCCCGUAUGGCGUUGGAUACUGGAAGUCUUGAGUGCAGGAGAGGAAAGGGGAAUUCCCAGUGUAGCGGUGAAAUGCGUAGAUAUUGGGAGGAACACCAGUGGCGAAGGCGCCUUUCUGGACUGUGUCUGACGCUGAGAUGCGAAAGCCAGGGUAGCAAACGGGAUUAGAUACCCCGGUAGUCC